AAUUGUUGCUCCGCUCCGCACCAAGUUGCAGUCCGCGGCUCUUCCCCCGCGAGGCGGCGGCGCGGCCGGGGCCGGGAUGAGGGGGGCGGUGGGGGCGAGGCGGGACGGCCCGCGGGCCCUGUCGCUGCCGCUGGUGCUGGCCGUGGCGUGCGCGGCGCGCAGCGCCGACGGGCCCAGCAACAUGUCCUACGUGAAGGAGACGGUGGACAGGCUGCUCCAAGGCUACGACAUCCGCCUCCGGCCCGACUUCGGAGGUCCGCCCGUGGACGUGGGCAUGCGGAUAGAGAUCGCCAGCAUCGACGUGGUCUCGGAAGUCAACAUGGACUACACCCUGACCAUGUACUUCCAGCAGUCCUGGAGGGAUAAAAGGCUCUCUUACUCUGGAAUACCUUUGAACCUAACUCUGGACAACAGAGUGGCUGACCAGCUCUGGGUGCCGGACACGUAUUUCCAAAAUGACAAGAAAUCAUUUGUCCAUGGGGUGACAGUGAAAAAUCGAAUGAUUCGACUCCAUCCAGAUGGGACAGUCCUUUAUGGCCUACGGAUCACAACAACAGCUGCUUGCAUGAUGGAUCUACGCAGAUAUCCUCUGGAUGAACAAAAUUGCACACUAGAAAUUGAAAGUUAUGGAUACACUACUGAUGAUAUUGAAUUUUACUGGAAUGGAGGAGAGUCGGCAGUAACGGGAGUUAAUAACAUCGAGCUCCCGCAAUUUUCUAUUGUUGAUUACAAGAUGGUAUCAAAGAGAGUAGAAUUUACAACAGGAGCAUAUCCUCGAUUAUCACUUAGCUUCCGGCUUAAAAGAAAUAUUGGAUACUUCAUUUUGCAAACCUAUAUGCCUUCCACGCUGAUCACAAUUCUGUCGUGGGUAUCCUUCUGGAUCAAUUAUGAUGCCUCUGCAGCCAGAGUUGCUCUAGGAAUCACAACUGUGCUGACCAUGACCACCAUCAGCACCCACCUCAGAGAGACCUUGCCAAAGAUUCCCUACGUCAAGGCAAUAGAUAUUUACCUGAUGGGAUGCUUUGUGUUUGUGUUCCUGGCCUUGCUGGAAUAUGCCUUUGUAAACUACAUAUUCUUUGGGAAAGGACCCCAACGUCAAAAAAAGGCAGCAGGCAGGGCAAGACAAGCUACAGGCGAGAAGAGCAGACUGGAAACAAAUAGAGUCCAGGUAAAAUGUUCAAGCUAACUUUUCAAACAUUAUUUCUGCUGUGACAAUGUUGAUGUAUAUGAUGAUAGAGAUAAGUGCAGUUUGAACACGUAUGCAAAAGCAUUUGAGAUUGUCUAGAGAAAAAUCAUAUUUUAAGGAGAUUACAGCAACAUAUGUUUUUUUCCGUCUUCAACUGAAAACAGAGUAAGAAACUACAGAAAAUGGAAAUGAGUAUUCAGAAUAAGUAUUUCUUUGCAGCACAGAAGAAAUACAAGGGUACAAGAAAGUUAAAUAUUUACCAUUUCAAGUGUAUAUUUCUUUGCUCUAGAAGGUGUUAUAGAAGAAAUGUUUAUUAUAUAGUUCCUCUUUACACACAGAAACUUCACCAAAAAUAGAAAGCAAAGACAGACACUGUGGCUUCAGUGAGUUUUGAAUGAAGCCCACACCACUGAGCUUCCAGGAAUGCAAGGAGGAUGCUGCUAGGUUAUAACAACUUUCACAGAUGUCAGGAUUUUUCCCUCAGGCUAAAUUCAAGCAGACCACAGCUACUCCCUCUUAAAAAACAAGCCAGACAAACUCCAAGAAGUAAUACUAUGGACAUUUUUUUUUUAACAGGGAGGAGUUUAAUUUAGCAGUACACCACUGAGCACUUGCAAACUUCUAUAAACCUAUUCCAUUUUUUCCCAGUUUUUCAGAAAUAAACACUUCCCUCAGGUGUAUUUGGCCCAGUCUGACUCAGAGGAAAAUACAUAUCCUAAUGAGCCAAAAAUUUUCUUCUGUUCUCUGCUUUUCUUACAAUAUGUUACAUCCAAAUAUUAAUGAGAUCUUACCCAGGCUGUCCUAUAAAAUUCUUUACUGUUGUGGCCAGUGGUGAUAACGUUUGGACAAAACUAUAUUUGAGCCCCCUGUUCAGCUUGAAGAAUGAGACUGACACAUAAAACUCUAACAGGUAGGACUUUAGCUUUAUGCAUGGUUGCAAUUUCACAUACGUGUCAGGAAGUGCAUUUCAGAAACUCUGUGAUAUUUUAUUAGUUCUAGAGCUGUGUGUCUUGUGUCCCAGCAGCCACACCACUACAGCUCAGCAUCAUUAACAGAGUCGUCAUGUCCUCAGUGAACUCACGAGCCCACUAAAAGUCCUUACUCGUAUUCACCUCCUGUCCCAAUGUGUAGGAGAUGCUUUAUUACAGUGGGUGCACAAAUUCAGUUGAGGCUUGCAGCAGUCUCCAAGGUCCCACAAAGUAUUGUCCUCCACAGAGCACAGGAGAUAAGCUACCCUGAUACAGAUUGUUGUGUGCAGACACUGUCUAUCCAUUUCUACGGAAAGUAAGGAAGGAAAAAAACCCAACAACACCCACAAACUCUGACCAGGCACCUCAACAGUUCCUGAGAUAACCCGGCCUAGGUGAGAAGCAGCACAGCAAGGGUUCAUGAUGAAGAGGGAAGCAACACUUCUUCAGAGGUCAGCCUUGGCUACAUGGGCCCCAGUGCACUGAACUGAGUAAAGGAUGAGAAAGUGUAAAGGAUAACAGUGCAGCAGGAAGAAUGCAUGUGACCUGAGCAGUGGAACACAGUAAGGUUAUGUGAUCUCUAGUGAAGACAGCUCCCAGCCCCUCUCCGUCAUGUUUUGAGAUUUUUCACUGUAUUAUGACGCCUGUACCAGAGCAGGGGAAAGGUUUUUCUGGAGCACAGAAGAAGUACAGCUGUGAAGAUAAUGCUCAUUCGCAUCUGACAUGCAACUCCUUCAACUAAAAGAGUUCAAAUUCCUUCACCAGAUAACAAAAGCAUUAGACAUGUGAGCAACACUCAGCAAACUGACCGUGAUAUUAAAACAGUAUAGAGAAGACCAGAUGGAAAAUGAAACCAUACUGCUGUUUCAUGUGUGGGUGUCCCUUGCUCUACAGACUGAACAAGGUGGAAAUAAAGCCUCUCCAGUUUCACAAUUUAUGCCAUUUUAAUUUUUAAUAUGCAAAAAAAUAUUAAUUUGUAGUAAACAAGCUUUCUGUUUCUCUGAAUAAAGCAUAAAGACUGUU